rnacentral:rRNA from 1 species
CGGGCAGCCUACACAUGCAAGUCGAACGGUAACUUUUGGUGCUUGCACCGAAAGACGAGUGGCGAACGGGUGCGUAACGCGUAUGCAAUCUACCUUUUACUAGGGUAUAGCCCGAAGAAAUUUGGAUUAAUCCCCUAUAAUAUCAUUUAAUCGCAUGAUUUUAUGAUUAAAGCUUCGGCGGUAAAAGAUGAGCAUGCGUCCUAUUAGUUAGUAGGUGAGGUAACGGCUCACCUAGACUCCGAUAGGUAGGGGUCCUGAGAGGGAGAUCCCCCACACUGGUACUGAGACACGGACCAGACUCCUACGGGAGGCAGCAGUGAGGAAUAUUGGACAAUGGACGAAAGUCUGAUCCAGCUAUGCCGCGUGCAGGAUGACGGCCCUAUGGGUUGUAAACUGCUUUUAUACAGGAAGAAAAACUCCGACGUGUCGGAACUUGACGGUACUGUAAGAAUAAGGAUCGGCUAACUCCGUGCCAGCAGCCGCGGUAAUACGGAGGAUCCAAGCGUUAUCCGGAAUCAUUGGGUUUAAAGGGUCCGUAGGCGGUUUUUUAAGUCAGAGGUGAAAUCCUGCAGCUCAACUGUAGAAUUGCCUUUGAUACUGAAAGACUUGAGUUAUUGUGAAGUGGUUAGAAUGUGUGGUGUAGCGGUGAAAUGCAUAGAUAUCACACAGAAUACCAAUUGCGAAGGCAGAUCACUAACAAUAUACUGACGCUCAGGGACGAAAGCGUGGGUAGCGAACAGGAUUAGAUACCCUGGUAGUCCACGCCGUAAACGAUGGAUACUAGCUGUAUGUCUACUUCAG